CUGUGUUCCAGCCUAUGGUUCACGGCAGAAAGGAA
rnacentral:ncRNA from 1 species